GAUGAACGCUGGCGGCGUGCCUAAUACAUGCAAGUCGAGCGAACAGACGAGGAGCUUGCUCCUCUGACGUUAGCGGCGGACGGGUGAGUAACACGUGGAUAACCUACCUAUAAGACUGGGAUAACUUCGGGAAACCGGAGCUAAUACCGGAUAAUAUAUUGAACCGCAUGGUUCAAUAGUGAAAGACGGUUUUGCUGUCACUUAUAGAUGGAUCCGCGCCGCAUUAGCUAGUUGGUAAGGUAACGGCUUACCAAGGCAACGAUGCGUAGCCGACCUGAUAGGGUGAUCGGCCACAGUGGAACUGAGGCACGGUCCAGACUCCUACGGGAGGCAGCAGUAGGGAAUCUUCCGCAAUGGGCGAAAGCCUGACGGAGCAACGCCGCGUGAGUGAUGAAGGUCUUCGGAUCGUAAAACUCUGUUAUUAGGGAAGAACAAAUGUGUAAGUAACUAUGCACGUCUUGACGGUACCUAAUCAGAAAGCCACGGCUAACUACGUG
rnacentral:rRNA from 1 species